rnacentral:rRNA from 2 species
AAAUUGAAGAGUUUGAUCAUGGCUCAGAUUGAACGCUGGCGGCAGGCCUAACACAUGCAAGUCGAACGGUAACAGGAAACAGCUUGCUGUUUCGCUGACGAGUGGCGGACGGGUGAGUAAU